rnacentral:rRNA from 1 species
GAUGAACGCUGGCGGCGUGCUUAACACAUGCAAGUCGAACGAGAAUCAACGGAUUGAGGAUUCGUCCAAAUGAAGUUGAGGAAAGUGGCGGACGGGUGAGUAACGCGUGAGGAACCUGCCUCGGAGUGGGGACAACAUCCCGAAAGGGGUGCUAAUACCGAAUGUGACAGCAAUCUCGCAUGAGGAUGCUGUGAAAGAUGGCCUCUAUUUAUAAGCUAUCGCUAGAGGAUGGGCCUGCGUCUGAUUAGCUAGUUGGUGGGGUAACGGCCUACCAAGGCGAUGAUCAGUAGCCGGUCUGAGAGGAUGAACGGCCACAUUGGGACUGAGACACGGCCCAG